GGCCGGGCCGGGGGCGGCGGCCGGGCCGGGGGCGGCGGCCGGGCGGGCUGUGUGAGGGGUCGCAGCGCCGCUGAGCUGCCACAUCUUCCCCAUGCGUUUGGGACCCUGGUUGCAGCCUCUCCAGCUCCAUAGUCAUGGAAUUGGGUCAUACGGAGGUUGGAAGGGUGUCCAGGGGAGCGAGGAGCUGUGAAUCCUGUGUUGCGGCUGCUGGAGCUGGAAGGAUUUCAUGGGUUCCCUCCACGGCUUAAUCCAACGUGCUGGUACCCAUCUUGGACCUUGAUCUGUCAAAACACAAACGUAUCCGCGACCAAUCAUUUUUAUCUCCACUGGACCCUUCCAUUGCCCUGAUUGCCAAUCCUUAUACUGUACCCGUACUGGUGUGGUUGCUUGCAAACCAGACCGUAAUGACAUGUGAUGAAUCACUAUCGGAGUGGACAGCCCAAGAGCCCUUUGAGCUCUCCUGCACAGCAGCGGCUGCACGACAGGAUCUCCUCUUGAGUGGGGACGCUCACUUAAGGUUCUUCUCCUCGAGGCUGAGAGAUUCCUUGCCGCAACAGAUUCUCGGUAAGUGACUAAUAGCAUGCUAAACUUUGAAAUCUUAGCUAAGGGAUCUAAGGAUUGAUUGCGCAUAUAGAAUCCUUUAGAGAUAAACCGUUGACCAAGUCUGGGACUAGGAUUGGAUCCAGCCGCAGCCAGACUCCUCUCUGAGAAGGAGUUUAGAAAGCCAGGGGGUCCUUUCUGAACCUCGGGACUCAACGGGAGGGUCUCCCUGAGAGCUUGUCUGACCCCGGCCUCUAUGCAGUAAAUAAUCAAGUGUGCCCUGGCAUCGAAUCUCGUAAAACACUGUCGCAUUCACUGCUAACUUUGUUAAAUCACUGUUUUACGUUAAUAAACAUUUCCCUACUCUCUUACAAGUGAAGUUAUUCACUGGGCUCGGCCCGCGACACCUGGCCUAGUCGGCAGGAUGUCAGGAGUUAUCAUGGAUUAUUUAGGGAGGCAUGGAGUGAACCCGAGCCCCAAAUUCUCAGAGGAAUGGGCUGGUGGUAGUUGGUCCAACUGGGAAGUCGUUGAAGAGUACUUGAAAGCCAUUAGGGGCCCUACAAAGGAUGGAAAAGAUAAGGGAGUCGUCUGUAAAAUGUUAGGCACUUGUUUAGAAGCCGCGUACCAAGACAGGGAGAAUAGGAAUAGGAGAGAGCAGGAAUUAGAGAAGGAAAUAGAGAGCAGGAAGGCAGCUGAGUUACUGAUACCUUUUAAAAAUGAACAGCUGCAAAAACGAUUGCAGGAAGAGAAGGAGAAAAGGUGGAAAUGGGGAGAAAAGGUCGAAAUGAUGCUUAUGCAGGCUCCCCACCCCCCUGACACUGUACAGAUUAGGAAACUGAUAGUAUCCCCUGAAGAUUGGGACGGAAUCAUUUGGGAGGAUCCCGAUGAUAGCGAGUCAGAAGAAGACGUUCCUUUUUUCCCCACAAAUCCUCCCGAAUAUGAAGCCAGACCCAUUGUUAAAACAGAAGGAACUGCGGGACCUCGGGGUGCUAAUCCACGGCAUACCACGCGAACCAGUCCCUGGGGUCCGCUGCAAGGGACAAAUUUCCAAGAGAGAUAUAGCAGAAACCCCGCUGACACUGAAACUGAAUCCUUGUGGCGAGUAUGCUUAACUGGCGGCGACCGAAUCCUGUUAAGCCGCUGUGAAAAAUAGUGAAGGUAUUGUUGGCUUUCGCCGUAAUAACAAGGCUAUAAAUCUUUGACUUAUAAGGAUAACUAACCUUUAGUAAAUUAGGAAACAUGAGAAACCUCAAAGAUAAUAACUAACAACAACUGUGGAGAAAAACAUCAUGAAGAAACACAUCCAAGAGAAACAAAAGAGAACUUCUCCAAAAGACUCCACAAGUGAUUAACAGAAGGAAACAGAUGCACAGAAGGGAGCUGAUGAUAAUCGAUCCUACCAGAAGGAAACACAUGCACGGGAAAAGGGAGCUGAUCCUACCAGAAGGAAACAGCUGCAUGGGAACGGGGAACUGAAGAUCAUGGAUCCUCAGAAACAAUUCAGAAGGAAACACACACAUAGAAGAGGAAAAGGACUAAUAAUAAUCAAUCCUUAUCAACAAUUACUCUGUCUAAAAGAGGGAAUACGUAUGCAAUAUUGAAUGUAUAUAAGACAUGGUUGAAGUGUUAGCUGGUGCGCCUCUGACUUGAGUCACGCGCCCAGCGCUGUGCUUUUGCUUUAUUGACUUUGUCCCUAUAAUAAAA